rnacentral:lncRNA from 1 species
GUGAGACCAGUAUGGGAUUGGUACAGGACGUGGGUGGGACUGGUGUGCGACCAGUAUGGGACUGGUGUGGGACCAGUACGGGACCAGUAUGGGACAUGUACAGGACAAGUACAGGACCAGCAUGGCACCAGUACAGCACCCAGUAUGGGACCGGUCUGGCACCAGUAUGGCACCUAGUGUGGGACCAGUAUGGACCAGUAUGGGACCAGUACAGGACCUGCCUAGGACCAGCAUGGCAUCGGUAUGGCACUCAGUGAGAGACCAGUACAACACCAGUAAGGGACCAGUAGAGCAUCAGCACCCAGCAUGGCACCCAGUGUGGCACCAGUACAGCACCUCCAGAACACCAGUACAGCACCAGUACCGCCCGAGCACUCCCAGUACAGUACCAGUACAGCAUCAGCACCCCAGAACAAUACCAGUACAGCACCAGUACAGCACCCAGUAUGGAACCAGUACAGCUCCAGCACCCAGUACAACACCCAGUACAGCACCAGUACAGCUCCAGCACUCUCACAAUACCCAGUGCAGCACCAGUAUGGCACCAGUACGACACCAGUACAGCUCCAGCACCCUCACAAUACCCAGUACAGCACCAGUACGGCACCAGUAUGGCACCAGUACGGCACCAGCACCCAGUACAGCACCACUGGGGCACCCUAAAAUGCACCCUGAGCACCCAAAAUCCAGCACCGCGACCCUAUCGUGGCACAAGGGCUCGCACGGGGAUUUGCACGGGGAUUUUGCACAGGGAUUUUGCACGGGGAUUUUGCACGGGGAUGUGCACAGGGAUUUGCACGAGGAUUUUUGCACAGGGAUUUGCACGAGGAUUUACACAAUGGUUUUGCACGAGGGGUUUGCACGAUGAUUUGCACGAGGGUCUGCACGAUCGUUUUGCACGAGGGUUUUUGCACGACGCUUCGCACGAGGGAUUUACACAAGGGGUUGCGCGGGGAUUUGCACGGGGAUACACACAAGGGAUUCGCACGAGGACACCCGGUGCCGCGCGCGUGCACGGGGACACGGGACGGCACACG